CACUUGGUCUCCUUGGUACUUUGAGCGUUUGGUUCAUAGAGCAAAGCUUUUUGUUGCUCCCUCUAAGCCACUUAGUGAGCCCCCGCAGGUGUACCUCCUGGAGAGAUCUUACAAAAAGAAAGACAAUGCCAGCUGCACAGAAGGAGCCAAAAGAUGCCCAAGAAAUGAGAUUAAGUGAUAGUAGCUGGAGCUAAAAAAGAGAAUAAAAUCCAAAGGGAAGGAGCCACUGUUGCCAGAACAUCAUAAAAGCCUAUUUUCCUGUCUACUCCACUGUCCUGAAUCGUGAUUCUACCAACCACCAUCCUUCCACCCCUUCCUGGCAAUGAUAUGGAUGGGGCAUUGGGUUCAAUUCUCCUUGAUUUAGUUUCUUUCCCAUUAUAUCUACGUUGCUUCACUUGAGACAACAAGCCAUAUAUUUACACUAAUGUUUUUCCCUAAUAGGCCAAAGUCAACGCUUCCCCAUAUAGUUUGUAUAUUAAAAUUCCAUUCUGUGGACAAAGACCCACAGAUACAAGUGUUAUUCUAAUAAGAGACAUUCUAAUGGCUCUUUUCCUUUAAUUCUGAAUUUUCUAGGGAUUGCCAGGAGACCACGGUAUCCCGGGAAAACAAGGCAUCAAAGGAGAAAAGGGAGAUCCAGGUGGGAUUGUGGGCCCUCCCGGGCUUCCAGGUCCAAAAGGUGAGGCUGGUCCUCCAGGGAACAGCCUGCCGGGCGAACCAGUAAGUACCAGCUCUUUUACAAAUCUUUCGCUUGAAAGGUCAUUGAUUACCGUCUACGUGUCCCUGGUUGCAGAUCACAAGUAUAAGUUUAGGUUUGCAGAAAAAGAAAUACUCGUCUUAUUUAGAUCAGAGAUCUAACAUCUUUGGAAAUUUGGUGCAAGCAAAGGGCUCUUUUCUGAAGAAAAUGCCUACGCACACCAUUUUACAUGCGAUUUGGAAGACUUAGGCCCCGCGGAAUCUUCUGCGUGGAUUCUUUAUGGAUCUACGGAGCCGAGUAAGAUGCACUGGUUUUAAACCACAAGCCUUCUGAGGACACCGUCUUGAAACAGAACUGCCCGAAGUUUCCCUUCCAGAGGCUCUGCAGAUACGGCCAUAGGCAGCCAUCUGCAGAAUAUCCUUGUGGCCUGGGCUAUUCCCAGGACGUAGAAAACUGGAUUAUCUGGAAAAUCUAAAUAAUCAACAUGCCAGUCUCAUAUACCCUUUUUUCUCAUCCCCUUUGACCUUUUGUAUUAAUUAAUAAUGAUAAAAUAAUUCUCAAUAUCAGAUGCCUCAUUUUAAAGAUAAAAACAUAUUUUAAAGUAACUAUAUAAAAUUUAUAACCCAUUGCAAUUUGUAUUCCCUGUUCCUUAUUCUUAUGCAAAAAAAAGGCGUAUUAAAGUAAGAGGAAGAGCAAUGAAACAUUUUUGAAUGAAUUCUAAGAUGUUCUUAACCUUUUUAGAAAAAGAAAUGUAUUUACCUCCCUUUUGUCUUUCUAGGGAUUAGACGGAAAUCCUGGAGCGCCUGGUCCACGUGGGCCAAAGGUACAAAAACACCACAGAAAUGUUUAAAUAAUUAAUCAUUAAUAUAGUCAGCAAUUGUGUGUCCCUUGAGCCUUGCACUAACAGAAGCAUCUCAUUGCACAGGGCGAGAGAGGCCUGCCCGGUGUCCAUGGGUCCCCAGGUGAGGCUGGCCCUCCAGGGGUAGGAAUUCCUGGCCGAACGGUAAGUGAAAUUCCAUCAAAUCUUGAAACCCUGUUGAUUCCAACAUUGUGAAACAAAAUCCAGUGAGAAAUUUGAAUAAGGAGAAAAGAGUAAAAAGGUCAGGGGAGGAAAUACACAUUAAUAAUCAUCAGAGGGAGGGAAUCAGUGGGCACUGAGGC
rnacentral:lncRNA from 1 species